rnacentral:rRNA from 1 species
AUGCUUUUUUUGUGUAAGUUAGUUGAAGUGGAAGCAACUGUUCAUUCCCUUGAUUACUUAAAUGUUCAACUCAUGUGUUUAUGUAUGUAUUUUUUAUUUUUUUACCCAUCGUUUUUAAGAAUGGCUUUUUUCUGGCAUAUAUCAGGAACAAUGGAUGACAGCAGUAAGGAAAUGCAGGAAGACCGCCUUCCAGUCAAUCCUGACGCCAAUCCUUCUAAUGUUACUGCAGAUAAUGAAACAGAGGCUCGUAGCACUGCGCCCACAAUUGGGUACAAGCGUCAAAGAAUGUCGAAAGCGAUCAUUGCUCGUGGCCCCCGUCCAUCAGAUAUUGAUAGCAACGAGGAUGUAUCUAGAGAUGCUGAUAAGGACCCUGAAUUUGACAAAGAUAAUGAGCGUGAAGCUGACAAAGAUAUUGAGGAUCAUCCAAGAAAAGCAAAGCGCCAAAAGUCUUCAGGAAAUGAGGGUUUUAGGAACAGGGGAUCACCUGCAAGGCUGUAUAAACUAAACAAAUCUCUUAUAUCUGUCCAAAAGGGUUGA